rnacentral:lncRNA from 1 species
UAAUUUCAAAACGCAAGCGCCGCCUUCACCUCUAAUGCCUAUUUCUUCCUAUUCUCUCUCUGUUUUGCCGGCGCUCGCCCCCUCCGGCCCACACCGCUCGCCUCUUCCGUUUGUCGUAUCUCUACAGCAACAGCCUGCGCCGUGCUCCGCCUCACUGUGCAGCCUAUCAGUUUUCUCCGGCGACUCUUUAGCAGCUCGGCCGACACCUCCCCAACCCAGCGCCUAAUAGCAGGUAAAUCGACUGCAAUUUCAAAUGUGGGAGCUAUUUAUAGAUGGCAAACUUGACUUAGCAUGAAAACAUUAGGAAUGGAUUUUUAAUUGUGGGAACACAACAGCAGAUUCGAGAAAAGGUAUUGUGGAAAAUGAUUUCGAUCAUUUCUUUUUUAUGAGACUUUCUGCAUUUAUUUUGUUUAAUGCUGCGGUCGGGUUAGUACUAGGAGACGCAUGAACUGAGGAUUUCUCGAUUCGGGCAGCAAUUAGGGAAAUAUUUCGAUUUAGAGCUGGAGUUCUUCUGCAUUUUUGCUUGGAUUCUUUAUUGUUUGCUUCAGACUAGUGUUACACCCGCGCGAUGCACGGGAUCUAUUGCUUUUUUUGAUCUAUUGCUUUUUUUUUUACGUAAUUUUAUUUUUAUAUUUAGUGUAUUUACAUUUAGUAAAUAUUAAUAAUAUAAAGUUGUUAUUGAUGUGUAUUUUUUAAAAUUAGAAAAGUCUUACAAUGCGAUAUAACAUUUUUUAUUUGAGGACUUAUUGAACUUUUUAGAUAUUUAAAAUAUAUAAAAUAUGUCAAUAUUUUUUAAAGUAUUUCUUUUGUAAUUUUUUAUAUUAAACAUAUAUGUUUUUAUAUUUCAAUUCUAUAAUCUAAUAUCAAAAUAAAUUUAAAUUGAAAUAAAUGGAGAAAUAAAAUAAUUGAACGUAAAACAUAUUGUUGGUAAAUAGAUAAAACAAUGUAAACAAAGUACUCCAUAUAUUAUAUAUUUUGCAGUACUUCCUUAUAUACAACAUUUGUAGUAGCAUUUUUUUGGUAGUCACCAUCAUUUUCACAAAUCAAAAUUUUCAAACCAGAACGAUUUGUGACUCGUGAAAUUGCUACAUACAACUGUCCAUGACUAAAAACUGGUUUUUUCAAAAAUAAUCCAACAUGGUUUAAUGAUUGACCUUGGCUUUUGUUUAUUGUCAUUGCAUAAGAGACUAUGACAGGAAAUUGUUUUCUCUGAAAUCUGAAAGGCAAUCUUGGAUCUGAUGGUGUCAGUGACAUUCUUGGAAUAAGAACUUUGUUUCCAGCAUUAUGACCAGUUAUAACUUUGGCUUCCAAUACGUGACUCCCCAAUCUGGUAAUAACCAAUCUAGUGCCAUUGCACAAGCCAUUUGCAUGAUCUAUAUUCCUCAAUAGCAUGACUGGAGUUCCAACUUUCAAGUAUAGUUCAUGAUUGGGGACACCAGAACAUUUAAGACUAUUUAGGAACUCAGGCGUAUGUAUGUCAUGGAGCAACGAUGAAGUAGAGUCUGUUGUGCACGUCUUAUCUGAGCUCAAAUAUUGUCUGCCUUCACACUCAUUCAAUGAAACCAUGUAUUGAUUUAUAGACUCAAUCACAUUUAGUGUGGGUGCCAAAAUAGCUCGUUCCUGCAAAUAGCUUGGAUUGUCACUGCAAUUGCUGAAUGAUGAAUAAAUCUCAUCGACUAUAGCAGCAAUAGGAUCUCCUGAAUAUUUAAUGAGAAUGUCAUCUGGAAGCUCAAUAUCCACUUCACCAUCAUUUGGACCUCCUAGUAUCCCAUCUCCCACACUUGCUAUCCACUUAGCAAAUUGCUCCAAUUGGAUGGACUCUUCAUUUGUACGUGCAUUCCCAAGUCUCAUGUUUUUUGUCAAUCGUAAGACAGUGCAACUCUUCCAUAAAUAUGAAGAAUUGAUUGUAGCAUUCCACCCUAAUCAAAUCACACAUAGGAUUUAAUUAUAACAAAAUAUGCAUAAUAAAAGACUGUAUGUAAUUAAAUAGAGUUCAGUUUUCUAACCUCUGAAUUUUCACAAAGCUCUUUUAUGGUUGUCACAGUAACUCCAGCCUCGAGCUCAUCAUUAACGGUAUAACUUGUUUGUUGUGAAGUAUUGACAAUAAUUUUAGUGCAUAAGCUGGAGUGAGUAAGCCUUUUUUUAAAAAAAAUAAGGUUACACAUGAGUCAAUUACAAAUGGCUGGGCAUCAAUCAAUUAAGAAUGGUGAGCUACCAAUUAGGUGAAUGAUAGAUACCUCUCCUUGAAUUCAUGAACUUCGGGUAUAUCAGCAUUCAACAAAAUUUUUGUAACUCUAUAUCCAUUCUGCACUCUAACAACACCUACCAUAUUAAAUAUUAAACAGAAGAUUAGAUAUUAAAUACUCCUUUAAGUUAUAAUUACAAACAUGAACUUACCUUGAUACAAAAAUAACUUACCAACAUAAAGUUAAAGUUCAGUACAAAAAAUAAAAUUUAAUUUUUAUUUACCUUGAUACAUACUCAGCCUACAAAAUUGUAUUAUGAUAAUGUUGGCAUCCAAUUCGCGUUCUUCAUAUUUUUUGAUGAAUUCAUCAACAUAAUCAUCCCAUAUAGUACAUGAGAUUCUUUUUCCCCUUCAAACAAAAGUACAUUUAAGGAACAACAAAACACAAAAGUUGUAGUUUAUUAAUGUACACAGAAUCUGUACAGAAUAACUCACUCAGUAUCUUCUAGAAUGAGAUCUAAGAGUUUUUUUUCUUUUCCAUCUCGUGUUGUGAUUUUCUGUGGAUUAGGAUUCGAAAUAAUUCUACCAAUCACAUCUGCAUACAUCAAUUCUAUUAUAAAAUAUUGGGAGUAAAAAUAGAAAUACAUGAAAAAAACAUAAGACUUUUCUAUAAUUACCAAUCGGAACAGCCUCCGCAAUGUUUUCGAUGGCUUGAAUCUCAUCAAAGGAUUUGAAUGCAUAGAUGAGGUUAGGAAAACUUUGAUUAGUUUCAACUCGCACCUCAGUGUUUCCAUAAAAAGUAGCUUUAUACUUAUGUGAAGUGACUCUAUACUUGGAUAUGUUAUGUGUAAUGCCGAAGUUUCGCAUGGCAUAAUGUUCUCCCUCUUGAAACUUAGAGCUGAACUUGGAUGCUAUAUGUUUUGGUGCUGUAAAAUGAUACCUAGUUCCCUGCACCAUUCAUUAUAAAGUAAGUAAUAAGUAUUUCAUUAUAAUCAUGUUAUUCUGAAAUGAAUUAUCCAUUCUCAAAAGUGUACAGAAUCCAAACUGAGUACUACAACAAUUUCAGAUGUUCAUGAACUAAGAAAGUCAAAGGUUGUAUUAGUUUGCAUAUUUUAUUGAUGAUAAUCAUUAGAAUAUUGAUUAUCCACAUACUUACUAUGUCAAUAUAUAUGUGCUGAUUAUAAUUUAUAUGUUAUGCUUGCUUUGUCCUAUUAUUCAUUACUAUUAUUUCCUACUAUGCAUAUAAGUAGAAAUUUAAAAAAGACAAUAAUUUUAAUAAACCUCACUGAAAUUGCUGUAGUACAAAAAUCAGGGCCUGAAUAUCAAAGAGUGACAGCCUUCGAAGAAAAAAAAAACAGUUUUCUUUUCAGGAUACUACUACAUAAUAAGACAUACAAAUAAAAUAUAAGUUAUACUCCAUGUUUGGAGGAUGGCAUGCAAAUAAAAUAUAAGUUAUACUCCAUGUUUUAUUUAAUACAUACCUCCAUAUCAUGAAAUAUGCAUUCAAAGCUAUUUAGCUCCUCAUGUUUGGAGGAUGGCAUGCCAUAACAUCUUAUUAACCUAGCUUUAACUGCAGGCGACAUUGCUAAGGGGCGAAGCUCAUUAAAGAGUGACCACAUCCCGACCAUUGUAGAGCUUCAACGUUGAAUCUGCAUGAUAUUCAAUGUUAGAAUACAU